rnacentral:tRNA from 2 species
GGUGACGUAGCUGAGCAGGCUCAAGCGCCCGGUUGAAGCCCGGGAGACGGUUGUUCGAAUCAACCCGUUACCA